rnacentral:sRNA from 1 species
AAGACAACCUCUUCUCUCCCGCUUCCCUCGCUGUGAAGAUGGCGCUCUCCAGGGUCUUCAAAGCUUCACCUUUCUCCAAAGGCAGAUGUGAAGAACUUGAUGUCUUAUGUGGUAACCAAGACAAAAGCGAUUAAUGGGAAAUACCAUCGUUUCUUGGGUCGUCAUUUCCCCCGCUUCUAUGUUCUGUACACAAUCUUCAUGAAAGAAAGCCUUGAGCCGGGCCAUGCUUCUCACAUCUUACCUGCCUCCUCCCUUGUUGAGACAUCGUUUGAAGACUCAUACAACUGUGAUUCACCAACUGGACAAGGCUUUGGCAAAGCUGGGGAUUGGCCAGCUGACUGCUCAGGAAGUAAAAUCGGCUUGUUAUCUCCGUGGCCUGAAUUCUACGCAUAUUGGUGAAGAUAGGUGUCGAACUUGGCUGGGAGAAUGGCUGCAGAUUUCCUGCAGCCUGAAAG